UUUACGUAACCGGCUGCGCCUCCGCACGCAGCAGCCGCGGCCGGCUCCGCCGCUGUCGCCGCCGCCCUGCCCGGCGCCCCGCGCGAUUCCCCGACGGGCGCGCCCUCCUCCUGAGCCGCCUCCUUGGAGAGAUGCCACACGUGGCGGUCGCAAGUUUAUUCGACUGCAAACGCGUCCGAGUCGCGGGGAAAGGCAACUGCGAGCCAGGCGCACGCCCUCGGCCGCCUCUCCGCCGAGCUCACGCCCCGGGGCAUCAGCCGAGGACGCGGACGCGGGGGGCGGGGACCGAGCCGGGCGCCGCGCCUCCUAGAAGACACUUCUUCCCGCGUCCGCCGACGGCCGCCGAGCCCCUGGUCCUGCCGCGCCGCGCCGCUCCGGCAUUCUCCAGCUCAGUAACAAUUUCGCAGAAUCCCAUCACGUCACAAUCCAGGCCCCCUCCAAUUGGCCAGUGGGGAGGGUGAUUCAACUCUGUUUACUUUCUCCCCCUGCCAGUCAGAAGGGCCCUUCGGUGGAGAGGUGCGUCUAGAACUACGGCGCGCGGCCAAUCCGACCGUUCCGUUCCGCCGCCGCGUGCUGCCCCUCCAGCCCCGAACGCUGACAUUUAAAAGGGAAACUGCUCCGAGCCGGGCGGCGCAGCCCCGCGGAUGCCGCCCGGUCCGCGCGCGCGCCCACGCCUCCCGGCCCACGUGCCAGCUGGCGUGGCUUGGAGACGUAUCUCCCCCCGGCGGUUACACCCGUCCCUAGGGACGAAACAGAACUUCAGCUUCGGGUUUCCAGCCCUCAAACAGUUAAGUGACUUCCUGCAAACGCUACAGUCCCAGCAACCAGCCUUCCAAUCAAAAAAUUCACAGGAGCUGGCCAUUAUGGUGCACACCCGAAGUCCCAGUACUUAGAAGGAUGGAGCAUUUGAGGAGGCCAGCCUGGGGAUAACCUGGGCUCCAGAGUGAGAUCCUGCCUCAAGAAAGAAAAGAAAGAAGGAGAAGGAAGAAAAAAAAGGGAAGGAGGGAGGGGGGGAUUGAGUCUGCCUCAUUUGUGAUCAUUUUUUCUAGAAUAAACUGUCCUUAGGAUA